CCUACGGGGGGCAGCAGUGGGGAAUAUUGGACAAUGGGCGAAAGCCUGAUCCAGCAAUGCCGCGUGUGUGAAGAAGGUCUUCGGAUUGUAAAGCACUUUCGACGGGGACGAUGACGACGGUACCCGUAGAAGAAGCCCCGGCUAACUUCGUGCCAGCAGCCGCGGUAAUACGAAGGGGGCUAGCGUUGCUCGGAAUGACUGGGCGUAAAGGGCGCGUAGGCGGUUUAUGCAGUCAGAUGUGAAAUCCCCGGGCUUAACCUGGGAACUGCAUUUGAGACGCAUAGACUAGAGGUCGAGAGAGGGUUGUGGAAUUCCCAGUGUAGAGGUGAGAUUCGUAGAUAUUGGGAAGAACACCGGUGGCGAAGGCGGCAACCUGGCUCGAUACUGACGCUGAGGCGCGAAAGCGUGGGGAGCAAACAGGAUUAGAUACCCGAGUAGUC
rnacentral:rRNA from 1 species